rnacentral:misc_RNA from 1 species
UAAUAUUUAAGAGGAGAAUUAACUGACGCAUAAAUGUUAAUUUUUUCUAUGGUACCAGAGCCCACAACGGCUAAUAUUCUCUUUAUAUAUACAAAAGGGCCGUCACUCUGCACUUGCAAACUAAAAAGAGAAAUUGACUGCAAACACCUAACAAAAUUAUAGCCCCUGUAUCCUUAUGAACAUGCUGUAAACCUACCGCAUCCAUGUGAAUAAAACUAAAAUGUACACCAUUAUUGGCAAGAUCGCCCUCCUACUUGUUGCCGAGUCCCCCAAAGAAGAGGAGAGGUGUAUUACCGCGUCUUGUUUCAGAUAUUGCCUGCUCAGUUUGUGAAACAGAACCUUUCUGUUGUUCCUUUUCCGGGAAAGGAAAUGAAAGAGAAAGGGAGAGAGAAGCAGAGACAUCCUCUACCUCCUCCACUCCAACUGCUUCCUUAGCUGAAGAAUGGUCCUGACUCACUUUCUUGUCUACUUUCCCAACUAA